UACGUAGGGUGCAAGCGUUGUCCGGAAUUAUUGGGCGUAAAGAGCUCGUAGGCGGUGUGUCACGUCGGCCGUGAAAACCUGCAGCUUAACUGUGGGCGUGCGGUCGAUACGGGCAUCACUGGAGUUCGGCAGGGGAGACUGGAAUUCCGCGUGUAGCAGUGAAAUUCGUAGAUAUUCGCAAGAACACCAGUGGCGAAGGCGGCUCACUGGCUCGAUACUGACGCUGAGGUGCGAAAGCGUGGGGAGCAAACAGG
rnacentral:rRNA from 1 species